GGAUUCCAUUCCAAGUAAGUUUAGUCUAAGCUUGACUCUGAGUCCUGGAAAUCCAGCAUCAAAACAGGAAAUAAUGCAGUUGAGUGGAGAGAAGUCACUUUCUUGGGAAACUGAGAGAUGGGGUCUCCAUAUGUUGCCCGGGCUGGCAUGGAACUCCUGGACUCAAGCAAUCCUCCUGCCACCUCAGCCUCCCAAAGUGCUGGGAUUACAGGCAUUGCUUUUACUGCAUUCUGCAAAUUUCAGUAAGUUGUAUUUUCAUAUUAAUUUAAUUCAAAUAUCUUAAAAUUUCUUUGACUUGUGUGUUACUUAGAAAUAUGUUGUUUAAUUGUCAAGUAUAUUGGGGUUUUUCAGCUAUCUUUCUGUAUUAAUUUCUAGUUUAAUUCCGCUGAAGACUGACAGCAUAUUCUGUAUGCUUUCUAUUCUUUUAAAUUUGUUAUGGUGUGUUUUAUAACCCAGAAUGUGGUCUAUAUUCAUAAAUAUUCCAUAUGAGCUUGAGUAGAAUGCAUAUUCUACUGUUGUUGGGUGAAGUAUUCUACAAUGCCAAUUAGAUCCAGCUGAUUGAUGGUGCCGCUGAGUUCAACCAUGUCCUUAUUGACUUUUUCCCUGCUAGAUCUGUCUAUUAUUGGUAGAGGGCUUUUCAAAUUUUCAACUAUAACAGUGAAUUCAUCUAUUCCUAUUUUCAGGUCUGUUAGUUUUUUCUUCGUGUAUUUUAUUUUUCAUAUUUAUUUAUUUAUUUAUUUUUGAGAUGGAGUCUCACUCUGUCGCCCAGACUGGAGUGCAGAGGCGUGAUCUUGGCUCACUGCAACCUCUGCCUCCCAGGUUCAAGCGAUUCUCCUGCCUCAGCCUCCCCAGGAGCUGUGACUAGAGGCGCGUACCACCAUGCGUGGCUAAUUUUUGUAUUUUUUGGUAAAGACAGGGUUUCACCAUAUUGGUCAGGCUGGUCUAGAAUCCUGACCUCAAGUGAUCCGCCUACCUCAGCCUCCCAAAGUGCUGGGAUUACAGGCAUGAGCCACCACACCCGGCCCUGAAUUACACACUUUAAAAUGGUGAUUUUUCUUUUUUCUUUUCUUUUUUUCUGAGAUGGAGUCUCACUCUUUUGCCCAAGCUGGAGUGCAGUGGUGCAAUCUCAGCUCACUGCAACCUCUGCUUCCCAGGUUCAAGCGAUUCUUCUGCCUCAGCCUACCGAGUAGCAGGCAUGCACCCCCAUGCUCGGCUAAUUUUUUUAUAAAAUGGUGAAUUUUUAAUAUGGAAUUAUAUCUAAAUAAAAGUGCUAAAACCCCAAAAUGAUAUCAGAUGUUGAAUUGUAGGUAACAUGUUAUAAUUUCUACUGGAAUUUUAAGGCAUAAUUUCUAGAAAUGAUUUACAUUGUGGCAUAAUUCAAGACUGACAACUCUCUAAUCAGUACUUAGAAUUUAUACUUUGAACCUGAUGAAAAAAUAAAGAAAAACAAGAAUUUGUAUGAUAUUUUCACUGUUUCAGGUAAGAGUGAGCCUGGAAGGAGUUGGGGAAGAACACAUCAGCUUCAGCCUAAACUAUUUUUCUCUAUUUAAUUUGCAUAUGUUUUUAGCAGGCAUUUUAGUAGUCUCCAGUUCAGAAGACAUAUCACAUUCCUCACCUGUGGGGAGCAAGAGUUGGGCAAUUCUGAGUCAACGUGGCAAGCUCAGUUCCCACUGGGUAAAUCCGGUAGAGGCGGACACAGAUAUACACACACUCACACACACUCAGCAGAAAGGACUACUAUCCUAAAACUUCUGUUUGACAUCAGGGCCCAAACAACAUUAAGGCAGUACUCAUCUAGUGUGUUAAAAAACAAAACAAAACAAAACAAAAAUAACCCUGUUUUUUCUCUGCAGUGGACACCAGCUGGGCAUCCUCUAACCCAAUUCAAUUCUGAUGUUAUCUACCUGGAGAUAGCAUUAGAUGCCACAAGUUGCAGUCUCUGUCCCAUAAGACUAUCCCCACUUCAGGCACCAGUGGCAAGUCUCGGCCUCUGGAACUUCUGACCAACCGGCUUCAGGUUAAGGUUCCCAAAACCCCUUAUUCAGGCUUGACUAAUUUGCUAGAGUGGCUCACAAAACUCAGGGACACGUGUAUACUGGCUUAUUAUGAAGAAUAUUUUAAAAGAUACAAGUAAGCAACCAGAUGAAGAGAUACAUAGGGCAAGGUCCGAAAGAGUCCCGAGCACAGGAGCUCUCGUUCCUGUGGAGUUGGGGUGUACUGCCCUCCCGGCAAGCUGAUGAGUUCUUGUUUACCUUCUUGCAGGCCUCCAUGAGUUUAGCUGUCCAGAAGCUCUCUGUGUCCCAUCCCCUUGGGCCUUUUAUCAAGAUGUCAUUAGAUAGGCAGGACUAUCAUGAACAACAAUGUAAAAAUGUGAUUGAACAAAAAGGGUAUGAUCUAACACUAUUAGACUGAGUAGGGAAACCCAGCAAGGCCUGACUAUUCAGAUUCUUCUUGGCCUCUCUGUGCAGCAUUUCUUCAUCCUGGGUAUGGGGGAGGACCCCUUCUGAAUUGGAGUCUUAUUGAGGUAGAGACCCACAGGAUUUAUUUCCCUGGUCCUGACAGAUUAAAGUGAAGAAACUGGCAAAAACCAGCAGAUGGCAACAAAAGCGAUCUCUAGCUGCUCUCAUUGCUCAUUAGUAUAAGACACUCCCACUCAGUGCCACAGUUUACAAAAUGCCAUGGCAAUGGCCCAGAAGUUACUGCUCCUUUCCUAGAAAGUCCUAAAUAACCUACCCUUCAAUUUGCAUUAACUCACUCCCUAAUUUGUGUGUAAUUGAAAGUGGGAAUAAGUGAGUAUAAAUAUAGUUGCCAAGAGCUCAUAUGUUGCUGACUCUGGGUGCACUGCCUUUGAUUUAGCUCUGCUCCACAAAGAGCAGUACUGUUCAAAAACAGAUUGUUGCCCAGCAUCACUAGCUCACCCUUGAUUUAUUUUUCAGGGUGAAGCCCAGAAGCCUCCCUGGCUAAGCCCCAAAUAUCGGAGCUUCCCAUUCCUGUAUCAUUAUGACCUACAGCCAGACAAGGUAAAUCAGAGAAUUUACUCAUGGCCACCUCCAA